GGGAGUCGGCGACCGCUUAGUGACGAGCGAUGAUUUUAAAGAGCAGAAUAAAAGGUUUUCCCGUGCCUGCCCCACAGCCCCUCCAGCUCGAAUAAUGGAGAACUGUCAAUGCACUCCGCGAGCGGUGGCCCAUUGUACGCAGCUGAUGGCGAGGAGGCGACUGGGGGUAGCAGGGGCUCCUUGCCCUCGUCCCUAUGCCCAAAUAAACGCGCAAACGCGCUCCCGUCUUCUGGUCAGUUAAAAGGUGAAACGAACACGAUUAAAAUAGACCAAAAGAAAAGAAAGAAAAGAAAACCUUUCUAUGUACAGAUUCUAAAUCGUACUCCCCAUACAGUCAGAGGCAGGGAGUCGAGGGCAGAGGCAGCAGGCGGAGAGAGGGAGAUAGGGCGAGGGAAGGAGAACGCGGAGAGAGACGAAGGGAGUGGGAGACCAGCGACAGCGAGCGCCAGGGCACCGCAGGCACACUGGAUGCCCAGUCCGCCGGCCCAGCCGCCCUCGGACCCUGGACCGUGCGUCGUGGGCACCAGAAACGAGACUCGGCCAAAUCCUGCCUCACCAGCAGGUAGAUGAAACUCAAGAGAAAAGGUGUGGAUAAAUGAAACUAGCCCAUGAUGAACCUGUUUUCUCCGUGACCACAAUAUUAACCAGGAUGAAUGGCGGUGGCAGUGGGCCUGCAUCACAGGUUGCAGCAGAUGUUCUCAAUAUUUCUAUUAAAAUUUCCUUAUUUCCAUAUGCAAGAGGAGCCCCAGAGCUGCAUCCUUAUGGUAGCUACCAUGCCGUGAUGUAAGCUGCCAUUCACUGGGGAGCUUUGGCAAUAGAAUUGGCUAGAUCAGGAAGCCUAUGUCAACUAUGGAACAACAACUUGCAGCUCAUCUCUAUUGAUGAUGGAAUCUCGCUAUGUCACCAGGCUGGAGUGCAGUGGCGCAACCUCGGCUCAGCGCAACAUCCGCCUCCCGGGUUCAAGUGAUUCUCCUACCUCAGCCUCCUGAGUAGCUGGGAUUACAGGUGAAACAGUCGCAAAUGGAAUUCCAAGAAACAUUCUAUAUACACUGCCUCUAGGACUGGGACAGAUAGCCACUGAGUACCUGCUUCAAAUCACCCUGCACGUUUUCUCUUUGGAAAGAUAAGCACUGGAGAACCAUCUCGUUACCUUCAGCAGAAAUGGAAACAAAUCAAGACAUUAAGAAUGCCGCAGUGGACAGCAGUUAUGCAAGGUUCAGCAGAGGAAGUUUUCAAGAUGGUGUGCCUCACUAGCCAGAAAUCAGAAAAGAUCGAAGCUAGCCUUUUCAUCUCAGCUGCUCCUUAAAUCAGUGCAACCCCUCCAAAUUAAUGUGAAUUGAAACUUGCAUUGCUUUUCAACUUAAUUGAAUACUUACUAUAUGUGAACCACUGCACAAAAUAGGGGAAGAAGAUGUGGGAGACAAAGAUGUGGAGCCUGUCUUCAAUAAAUUUACAGUUAGUUUCAGGGUACAUUGUUUUUCUUCUGCUGUUAAUUAGGUGUAUCCCCAAGACAAUAAAUACAUGAAUGGAAAAGUAUAUUCUGUGUUUUAAGUCUCUUUAAUAAAAAACAAAACAAAAUCCAAAAAAACUCCUAACAUGGCAACUCAGGACAUUUUAAUCCUUUUUUUUGUUGUUGGGCUUCUGAUAGGAUCCAUUUUAUUGAUUCCAUAAAUAUUUAGUAGACUUUAGACAUAUUAAUACAUUGUAGUUUGAGUUAAUUUGCAUUAAAUUCUGUUUUUUUCCCCUUAGGUAUAGAUUGUCUGUUGGAAAAAUAUAUUGCUUGUGGAUUUCUUGGGGAGUGGGAAGGUGAAUUAUACCUGUUGUCUCUACAGUCCACUACCUUCCACACCCUAGGGCAGUGGUCCCCAACCUUCUUGGCACCAGGGAUCAGUUUCCUGGAAGACAAUUUUUCUGUGGAUGGUGUGGGGAUGGUUUUGGGAUGGAACUGUUCCACCUCAGAUCAUCAGGCAUUAGUUAGGCUCUCAUAACGAGUGCGCAGCCUAGAUCCCUCACAUGCACAGUUCACAGUAGGGUUUGCGCUGCUAUGAGAAUCUAAGGCUGCCACUGAUCUGACAGGAGGCAGAACUCAGGUGGCAAUGCUUACUGGCCCACUGCUCACCUCUUGCUGUGCGGCCUGGUUCCUAAUAGGCCAUGGACCCCCACAGACGGGUACUAGUCUGCAGCCUGUGGACCCCAGCCCUAGGGGCCUGCCAUUCUGAGUGAGUUAUUAGCAUGAAGAAGAGGAAGAUCUGGAUCAAACGUGGGUGAUGGUACUCAGAGACCCAAGAUAGGAUAGGGAUGGAACAAAAUCCAUCUGGGCAACGGCUCUAUGAAAAUUUGGCUAAGUAAUUAUUUCAGUAUUCAUUGUAUUCAUUGUCCUUCGUGUUCCAUAAGUUAAAUGACUGUCUAAUUUUUCCAAAAAUUUAUUUCUGACUUGAGAAUAAGUGUGUCAUGAUUUUCCCAGUGUAAAGACACUGAUAUAACUGUAGAUACCAGACAUUUUAUGUAGUGUCUAUGACACAUUUUAGUAUGUAUGAGCCAACAAUAGACAUGUCUUUGUCUUGAGGAGUGUCCAUCUGAAUUGAAAAUGUGUCAGCUUUUUUUUAACAUCAUCAACAGACUUCUUAAUUAAGCUGCCAAUACAUACUGCCAAUAGCACUGUGUGCUGUCUGAGAAAUGCAUUGUGUAAGUGCUAUUUCCAUCUUAUUAAAUAAACAAUGUUGCUCUGUAUAAACUGGAUUUAAAGUGUUCUUUGAAUGAGGCAUUAUAUUGCUCCAUAAAUAAUGUGAUGUGAAUUCUCAUAUGAUCCCUUUUAACUUAAUUUCUAAAAAAAUAUUAUUUGCUCCUCAGUAAGGAAUAGCUCUAAUUGGACUGGUAACUUUAGUGAUAUGAUUUGUCUGUAACAGGCUGAAUCGCCCCACUCCCAAACUCCUGGUCGUGAUACUGGAUAUUUGUUAUGCCACUUUUAGUUUGCAUGAGGUAUCUUCCAGGAAGUAUUAGUUAUUAACUUGUGUUCUACUAAACUGUAGAUAUUUAUUUCCUGUUCUGGAAGAUUUCUUGGAGUGUCCAUCUGUGCAUUCCUGGUGCCUAGUGUAGUCUUGCUAAUGGAAUAGCACCUUUAUUGGUGCUACUUAGGGGUUGGUAGCUUACAAUCAAUCUACUUGGAACGUAUCCAAAUAAAC
rnacentral:lncRNA from 1 species